GCGGAUGGCUGGAUGACCGCGUGUCGCAAGAUGCGAGGAAAGUCCGGACUCCAUGAGGCAAGGGUGCCGGGUAACGCCCGGCCGGGGCAACCCGAGGGAAAGCGCCACAGAGAAGAGUCUGCCCCGAGAGGUGCGAAGGUUCGCCUUUGGCACAUCGGGGUGAUGGUGAAACGGCGGGGUAAGAGCCCACCGCGGACCGGGCAACCGGGACGGCAAGGCAAGCCCCACCCGGAGCAAUGCCGAAUAGGGGCCUCGCGCGGGUCUGGUCCGACGGCGCUAGCCGGGGGAUACCGCCGCAGGGAUGCUUCAGCCCAGAGGCCCGGGUUGGCAGCUAGAUCGCGCGGGCAAUCGCGCGGGCAGAGGAAUGGUCAUCCAGAGGGGCAACCCUUGGACAAAAUCCGGCUUACAGGCCAUCCGCACAU
rnacentral:RNase_P_RNA from 1 species